UUAUUUGAGAGUUUGAUCCUGGCUCAGGACGAACGCUGGCGGCGUGCCUAAUACAUGCAAGUUGAGCGCUGAAAGUUGGUACUUGUACCGACUGGAUGAGCAGCGAACGGGUGAGUAACGCGUGGGGAAUCUGCCUUUGAGCGGGGGACAACAUUUGGAAACGAAUGCUAAUACCGCAUAAAAACUUUAAACACAAGUUUUAAGUUUGAAAGAUGCAAUUGCAUCACUCAAAGAUGAUCCCGCGUUGUAUUAGCUAGUUGGUGAGGUAAAGGCUCACCAAGGCGAUGAUACAUAGCCGACCUGAGAGG
rnacentral:rRNA from 1 species